UGCAGUCUUUGGAAAUAGUCCUGCUUUCUC
rnacentral:piRNA from 1 species